AUGUCUGCCAGCAAGCUGCCCUGUCCCACCAUAAUGACAAUGGACUAAACCUCUGAAACUGAUGGAUGCUCGCCCACCUGCAACCCUACAGGCCGUGUCUGUGCAGCCCUAUCUAUCACUCAGCCUGGAGGCUGGGCCACAAUGAAGACAGUGCCUCACUCAAGCCACCCAUAAGCAGUAAUGUCUGCUUCCUCCUACAGCCACUGUCCACUUCUGCAUGGGUCAAUUCAGCCCGACAAAGACUCCAAUCAUUUUCUUCUGACUGUCUGUCCUUUAGAAGAGAGGUCAUCAGCGAAGACAGGUCUGCCCCAGGGCACUCUCUGGGCACCAGCUGGGGAUGUCAGAGAUGUCCCUGGGGAAGGCUGAGAGCUUUGGCAUCAAUGAAUAAUGAGAAGAAGAUUGAAGUACCACUCAGAGCCAGCAAAGGUCAAGUGCUCUAUAGUUAUCCCAUCCAAGGUCGGUCUGGGGCACUGCCCCCACGAGCCUAGCAGCAUCGUCAUUGACAUAAGGUGUCUGGAAGUGUGGCCUCCUGGUCUGGCUAAGGGCUGGUUGGAUCCUAGGAGGGACAGUUGAGGAGUUCCAAGUGUCUUAUCUUUUGGUACCCACUAAAGAAUAUAAACCCAGAGGACUCA